rnacentral:rRNA from 1 species
UACGGGGGGGGCAAGCGUUGUUCGGAAUUACUGGGCGUAAAGGGCUCGUAGGCGGCCAACUAAGUCAGACGUGAAAUCCCUCGGCUUAACCGGGGAACUGCGUCUGAUACUGGAUGGCUAGAGGUUGGGAGAGGGGUGCGGAAUUCCAGGUGUAGCGGUGAAAUGCGUAGAUAUCUGGAGGAACACCGGUGGCGAAGGCGGCAUCCUGGACCAAUUCUGACGCUGAGGAGCGAAAGCCAGGGGAGCAAACGGG